CCGCAGCGCCAGUUUUGCUACCAAAAGGCCCACUAGGCACUCGCAUCCACGCCCGGCUCCACGCCGCGAGCCGGCUUCUUACCCAUUUAAAGUUUGAAGAAUAGGUUAGAUCGUUUCGGCCCCAAGACCUCUAAUCAUUCGCUUUACCGAAAAAAACUGCCACGGGCGGGGCUCCGUCGUUGCGACGAGCGCCAGCUAUCUGAGGGAAACUUUCGGAGGGAACCAUGCACUAGAUGUCGAUUAUCUUUCGCCCCAACGCAGCGGACGACCAGGAUUGCACGUCAGGACCGCUACGGACCUCCACCAGAGUUUCCUCUGUUCGCCCUGCGCAGCAUAGUUCACCAGCUUUCGGGUCCCGACGCGUGCGCUUCGGGUCCACCUCCCCGGCGCGGCGGUGCGAGACGGCCGGUGGUGCCCCUCGGCGGACUGAGAGGCCUCGGGAUCCCCACUUCGGGGUGGGGGGAGGCGCGGGAGCGCGGGGGCCCCCGGCGCGCCCCCCCCACCCGCUUCACCUUCAUUGCGCCACGGCGGCUUCGCGCGAGCCCCUUGACUCCGCGCACGCGUCAGACUCCUUGGUCCGUGUUUCAAGGACGGGUCGGGUUGGGUGGCCGACGUCGCCGCCGACCCCGUGCGCUCGCUCCGCCUACGCUCCGCGCGGAGGCUGGAGGCGGGUGGCUCGGACGGACCCCCGGGCCCGACGCGCGACUUCGCCCGGGCGCACUGGGGACAGCCGCCCCCGCCCCCGGCACCCCCCCGUCGGCGCGACGGAAGGGGCGGGGUGGGAAGAAGCGGGGCGCGGGCCGUGGAGGGCGGCCCGCCCCCCUCGGGAGGGUUGCCCCUCCCUCCGCCGCCCGCGCCACCUCCGGCCGCGAGGGCGGGAGCGCGGGGCGGGCGGGGGAGAGCGCGGCGACGGGUCCUGGCUCCCUCGGCCCCGGGAUUCGGCGAUCGCUGCUGCCGGGGCGGGGCUGUAACACCCGGGGACCGGGUCCCGCCGGCCCCGCCCGCCGAGACGGACGGGGACCGGGACGGGCGACCCCCGAGGGGUCUUUAAACCUCCGCGCCGGAAGCGCUAGGUACCUGGGACAGGAGCGGCGGACGGGCGAGGCGGGGAGGGACGGCGGAUCCGGGAGCGAGCCGGCUCCACCCCCCCUCGAGCUCCCCCCACCACCGCCUGCACGGCGCGGGACACGCGGGACCGGCCGCGGCGCCGCCGGGCCCCGCGACGCGGAGCGGACGCACGCCCCCCCCACGGCCGCUCCCACACGCUCCGCCCUCGCGCCUUCCCUCCACGCCCCUCACCUCCUCGCGCCACCCCCGGCCCGCGAGACCCGCGGGGAUCCCGGGACCCGCCUCUCCUUCCACGACGCGCGCCGAGCGAGCGGCGCCGGGGGAGGAAGGGGCGUGCCGCUCGCGGAGGCGGUGGAGCUCGCGGGGCGACGGGUGACGCGCGGAGAAGAGACCCGGAGGCGAGGCGGCCGGGCGGGCGGGCGGGCGAGAACGGCCGGCGAGGGGAGCGAGACGCCCGCCACCCCCCCCCACCACACGGCGUGGUGGGGCGGCCGGCGCCGCGGGAGACGGCGCGGACGGACGGGGGACCCCGAACGGACCACCCGCGUACGGGCGGGCGGGCCCCCGCAGAAACGCCCGCACCCCCCGGGCGCGCGGCGCCGAGGGCGACCGGCGGCCCGCGAGACCGCGCGCGGGCGGGGAGACUCGGAGGGAGGAGCGGGGAAGCGGAACGCUCGAGGUCCGCCCCCCGAUGCCCCGGACACACCGCGAGACGCCGCCCGAGAGCGGAAAGCCGGGCCCGCGGUGGUGAGGCGAGCGAAGGAGGGAGGGAGGAGGGGGCGGCGGGCGGUCCGAGACGCCCCCCCUUCUCCUCGAUCUCCCCCCGGCCCACCCCCGACACGCGGACGCGCGCGACCGCGAGGCCCGGCUCCGGCGAGCGGGAACGGGAACGGCCACGGACGCGGAGACGGAAGACGCCGACGACGACGACCCUCCUCCUCGCGGCCCGGGUCGUCCCGUUAAUGAUCCUUCCGCAGGUUCACCUACGGAAACCUUGUUACGACUUUUACUUCCUCUAGAUAGUCAAGUUCACCGUCUUCUCCAGCGCUCCGCCAGGGCCGUGGGCCGACCCCGGCGGGGGCCGAUCCGAGGGCCUCACUAAACCAUCCAAUCGGUAGUAGCGACGGGCGGUGUGUACAAAAGGGCAGGGACUUAAUCAACGCAAGGGCUUAUGACCCGGCACUUACUGGAAAUUCCUCGUUCAUGGAGAUAAAUAAUUAGCAAUCCCCGAUCCCCAUCCACGCAAUGGGUUCAAACGGGUUACCCGCGCCUGCCGGCGUAGGGUAGGCACACGCUGAGCCAGUCAGUGUAGCGCGCUUGCAGCCCCGGACAUCUAAGGGCAUCACAGACCUGUUAAUUGCUCAAUCUCGGGUGGCUGAACGCCACUUGUCCCUCUAAGAAGUUGGGGGACGCCGACCGCUCGGGGGUCGCGUAACUAGUUAGCAUGCCAGAUUCUCGUUCGUUAUCGGAAUUAACCAGAACAAAUCGCUCCACCAACUAAGAACGGCCAUGCACCACCACCCACGGAAUCGAGAAAGAGCUAUCGAUCUGUCAAUCCUGUCCGUGUCCGGGCCGGGUGAGGUUUCCCGUGUUUGAGGUCAAAUUAAGCCGCAGGGGGGGGUGGGGGGAGGGGGGCGGAGGCGGGGGGGGGUGGGGGGGGGGGGGCGGGGGGGGGGGGGGGGAG
ensembl:lncRNA